rnacentral:pre_miRNA from 1 species
GGGGGGAGCGCCGGAUCCUGGGCUGUGUCCCCCGGCGCCCUGGGCUCGGGGCCUGCACCCCUGGAAUCGCGCUCCCAGGGCCGCGCAGCCCCCU